UCUCUUUGUGUCUCCCGCUCUUCAGCUU
rnacentral:piRNA from 1 species